GGAGGCGGAGCAGCCGAGACUCCUGAAGAGGCGGUGGAGGCAGCCGCGGGUCGCAGCCGCGAUGGAGGUAACGGUGGGCGUCGCGCCGCCCCGCUGGCCCGCUGUGCCGCUCGAGGGGUGGGAGGGCAUGGGAGCACCCUGUCCCCGCCCUCGCGCCCAGACCCCCGCCGCGGCGCUUGGCAUUGAACCUGGUGCUGGCUCCGGCCGUGGCGACGGCCCAGCUCCGGUCCCUACCGCCUAAAGGGGUCCUCCUCUGCACAGAUUUGUUUGGCCGCGCCUUGUACCUGGAAUUGGGAUGAGCUCUUUUUAUGGUUUGUUUUACAGGAUUCUGCUCCAGAUGCCGUAGCUGCAGCACCCUCCGGGACCCCGAAAUCCAAGGUGAGGAGAGCACUCAGCCGCCUGGUUCCCUGUAGCGCAUAAGGUUAAUGAAUCGGAAAACUUUGGCAUGGGGAGAAUUAUUU
rnacentral:lncRNA from 1 species